UAGCCAUUCUGCCUCCACUACAGCAGGU
rnacentral:misc_RNA from 1 species